AUGUUCACUGUCGGUGCUGUCAAGUACGGGGAGAGGACGUGGGCACUCAAAUGCAGCAAUCUGGACAGCAUCCGGAGCUCCCUCAAGAAGGAACGACCCACCAGGCAUAACCAUUUCCACCCCCAGGAUCAGGCGGGAGAUCACAAAGACGAGGAAUUCGUUCUCCGUCGAGCUCAUUCGCUCUUCCACAUCUGCAAGCGUGCCAUAGUUGAUUCUUCAGUCGACGGGGAUUCAGAAUAUCGAGACACCACAGAAAUGCUUGGGAAAAUUGAUAUGAUCUGGGGUUUGAUGGAGAUGGAGCUCUCGCUCAUGUAUGACAUCUUGUACACCAAGGCGGCUGUGAUCCACACCUGGUUCGGCUACUGCCUUCGGGUCAUCUCGCCCCUUGCCAUCGUCGCCCCCCUUCUGCUUUUUCAGUUCAGCAGCAAAGUUGGGCACAGCAGAGUUGACAUUGCCAUCACCUAUGUGUUGUUGUGCAGUGCUUUGUUCAUGGAGACAACUUCCCUGUUGAAUGCUGUAGGGUCCACCUGGGCAUUUGCAUUCCUAUGUACCACGAGCUGGAGCUGGCUCCGUUACGAAGCCCUAUGCACCGCGAGAUGGGACCGGCUACGGCGUGCGGUUGCAUCUCUUCACCGGCUCAUCAAGGCAACCACUGGAGGAGGUAGCAGCUACAGAUCGGAGAGGUGGACAGGCACCCGCACCUUGGGGCAGUACAACAUGUUGCACUUUUGCACUCGCCGUGACAACAACCUGGCUAGCCCUUUGCUUGGUAGGUUGGCCAAGAUGGUGGGGCUCGGGGAGUGGUGGAACAGGAAGCAUUACUCGGGAUCUAUCGAGAUCUCAGAGCUUGUGAAGGAGCAUACCAUCAAACACAUGGCACGGUUGUACAAGAAGGGGAGGUGGAACGCAUUAGGAGUUCUCAGGAAGAAGUGGGGCCAGGAGGCACUGGAGCAAAAUAAAUCGUUCCCAGAACUCGAGGAAUUCCUCGGUGUCGAGUUUCAGGAAGGCGUCAUCAUCUGGCACAUCGCCACCGAUGUUUUCCUCAUCAAGAGCGAGCGAGCAAGGGUGGAGGGUGCAUCGGGUCGUGUGGAGGCCAUCAAGCUGAUGUCCAACUACAUGGUGUUCCUCCUCGUCGAAAGGCCCUACAUGCUACCAGGCCUCGCCCAGAACAGGUUGUACCAACGAACAUGUGAAAAUCUGGUCGAGAUGCGAGCAGCUCCCAACCAUCGAAAGUGGGAUAUUUGGGAAGUUCUCCGCUCUCUGUUCAGCCUGCGUGACGACCCUGAUUCCAAUUCCAAGGCCGUCGAUAUAGAGAAGCUUGCAAAGAUCCUAUACGAUAAGAAUCCAUCCUUCAGCAUUGAUGCUCCCCGUCUCUCUUAUGUCACCCGGCUUGCCAGAAGACUGGUAGAAAAGGAGGCAGAUGGCACGACUGACUCGUUGCAGCUUGUCCUUGAGGUGUGGACAGAUAUCCUGGUCUACGCAGGCAACAAAUGCAGCAGGGAGUCCCAUGCCAAGAAGCUCAACAGUGGCGGUGAGUUCACAACCAUCCUGUGGCUUAUGGCAGAACACCUGUUCCAAGCUUCUCUCGAGGGCCCAUGA
rnacentral:rRNA from 1 species